CGGUGGUAUAGUGGAGUAACUGGAGUUGGCAGUAGAUCAAAGCGAAGGAAGUCAGCUGAAAUUUGUAUUCUGCUCUAAAGGAAGCUGUGGUUUGAAUAGGUUUCUGUUUAGGUAUUUAUCGUCUUCUAAUUGGAGAAUUGCGGUCAAAUAAUAGGCGUUUGUGCAAUCGUAUUUGUAUGUGCUCUAUUUGAUUUUAUAUUGAUUUAUUUGUUGGAUUACUUUCCGCAAUAUGAAGUAAACUUGUUGUAAUUGGACCAGUUGCUUCAUUGUGGCUUUCACGGUUUUCCAUUUUCGCUUAAUUGCUAUGGGAACUUUGAAUUCACAGACCACGGGCAUAAUAAUUUCUCGAGAAUGAGAUUUUUGGGAUUUUAGAAUGCAGUUAUAUGAUUUUUGAGAAGGUUUAUGCUCUUGUAGAUCGAC
rnacentral:lncRNA from 1 species